rnacentral:rRNA from 1 species
CCAAUAGCGUAUAUUAAAGUUGUUGCAGUUAAAAAGCUCGUAGUUGAAUUUCGGGAUCAAUAUAUCGGUCGUGCCUUCGGUACGUACUGGUAUCAUUGGUUUCUCCUUUCUGACGAACCAUGAUGUCAUUAAUUUGGUGUUAUGGGGAGUUAGGACUGUUACUUUGAAAAAAUUAGAGUGUUUAAAGCAGGCUCACGCUUGAAUACAUUAGCAUGGAAUAAUGAAAUAGGACGUUUGAUUCUAUUUUGUUGGUUUCUAGGAUCGACGUAAUGAUUAAUAGGGAUAGUUGGGGGCAUUAGUAUUCAAUUGUCAGAGGUGAAAUUCUUGGAUUUAUUGAAGACUAACUACUGCGAAAGCAUUUGCCAAGGAUGUUUUCAUUAAUCAAGAACGAAAGUUAGGGGAUCGAAGACGAUCAGAUACCGUCGUAGUCUUAACCAUAAACUAUGCCGACUAGGGAUCGGAUGAUGUUAAUUUUUUAAUGACUCAUUCGGCGCCUUACG